UACGAGGGGGGCGAGCGUUGUUCGGAAUUAUUGGGCGUAAAGGGUGCGUAGGCGGUUUGGUAAGUCUUAUGCGAAAUCUACAGGCUCAACUUGUAGUCUGCAUGAGAAACUGCCGGGCUUGAGUAUGGGAGAGGUGAGUGGAAUUCCUGGUGUAGCGGUGAAAUGCGUAGAUAUCAGGAGGAACACCUGUGGCGAAAGCGGCUCACUGGACCAUAACUGACGCUGAUGCACGAAAGCUAGGGGAGCAAACAGG
rnacentral:rRNA from 1 species